AGAAUCAACUGGCAGUAUAAUUGAAGUUCUGAGUAAAAUAGAUUCAGAAGGAGGAGUUUCAGCAAAUCAUACUAGUCGUGCAACGUCUACAGCAACAUCAGGAUUUGCUGGAGCUAUUGGCCAGAAACUCCCUCCAUUUUCUUAUGCUUAUACGGAACUGGAAGCUAUUAUGUAUGCCCUUGGAGUGGGAGCAUCAAUCAAGGAUCCAAAAGAUUUGAAAUUUAUUUAUGAAGGAAGUUCUGAUUUCUCCUGUUUGCCCACCUUCGGAGUUAUCAUAGGUCAGAAAUCUAUGAUGGGUGGAGGAUUAGCAGAAAUUCCUGGACUUUCAAUCAACUUUGCAAAGGUUCUUCAUGGAGAGCAGUACUUAGAGUUAUAUAAACCACUUCCCAGAGCAGGAAAAUUAAAAUGUGAAGCAGUUGUUGCUGAUGUCCUAGAUAAAGGAUCCGGUGUAGUGAUUAUUAUGGAUGUCUAUUCUUAUUCUGAGAAGGAACUUAUAUGCCACAAUCAGUUCUCUCUCUUUCUUGUUGGCUCUGGAGGCUUUGGUGGAAAACGGACAUCAGACAAAGUCAAGGUAGCUGUAGCCAUACCUAAUAGACCUCCUGAUGCUGUACUUACAGAUACCACCUCUCUUAAUCAGGCUGCUUUGUACCGCCUCAGUGGAGACUGGAAUCCCUUACACAUUGAUCCUAACUUUGCUAGUCUAGCAGGUUUUGACAAGCCCAUAUUACAUGGAUUAUGUACAUUUGGAUUUUCUGCCAGGCGUGUUUUACAGCAGUUUGCAGAUAAUGAUGUGUCAAGAUUCAAGGCAAUUAAGG
rnacentral:sRNA from 1 species